rnacentral:rRNA from 1 species
AUUGAACGCUGGCGGCAGGCCUAACGCAUGCAAGUCGAACGGUAACAGGAAGCAGCUUGCUGCUUUGCUGACGAGUGGCGGACGGGUGAGUAAUGUCUGGGAAACUGCCUGAUGGAGGGGGAUAACUACUGGAAACGGUAGCUAAUACCGCAUAACGUCGCAAGACCAAAGAGGGGGACCUUCGGGCCUCUUGCCAUCGGAUGUGCCCAGAUGGGAUUAGCUUGUUGGUGGGGUAACGGCUCACCAAGGCGACGAUCCCUAGCUGGUCUGAGAGGAUGACCAGCCACACUGGAACUGAGACACGGUCCAGACUCCUACGGGAGGCAGCAGUGGGGAAUAUUGCACAAUGGGCGCAAGCCUGAUGCAGCCAUGCCGCGUGUAUGAAGAAGGCCUUCGGGUUGUAAAGUACUUUCAGCGGGGAGGAAGGGAGUAAAGUUAAUACCUUUACUCAUUGACGUUACCCGCAGAAGAAGCACCGGCUAACUCCGUG